rnacentral:misc_RNA from 1 species
GCUGAGGACCCAAAGCUGGCAGCUGCUCCAAGGCCAGUAGGAUUGGUCUCUGGUCGACUACCAUACCUUCCAUGCAUCUGAAACAUACCAUGGGACUCCUCAUGCAAUGGAGCUGCUGGCCUGCCAAGCUCCCAAUCUCCAUGCGCAAAACGACACUGGUCACCAAAUUUGCAGCCUUCAGCAGUGUUGAAUUUGGUGCAUAGACGAGUCUUAACAACUGGGGAAGAUGAUCCAUCAGGGAAAGAUGGCGGAGCUAUUGAAUUCCUAGGAGCUGCUGGAAGGGCUGGGUUGCUACCAAGCAUCUGAGUCACAGCUUUAAGGCCUCCAGGCACAUAGUGCAAGAAGUGGCAUCCUUCACCAAAUGGACAUCCCGAAAAACUGAAAAACUUAGUGCACGGCUUCGAUUUGCUUCCUAUACCA